AAUCAGUUGGGAACCGGUGCGGAGCCCUGUCCGUUAAUCCCGCCCCUGUGUUUGUGUCUGAGUUUCAAGUUUCCCUCUAACUCCUGGGAACGCGGUCUCAAAUGACCCGCUGCAAAUUCAGUACAGAGAAAGAAAGAAGGAUCUAAGAAAGUUUUCCUCUCACCAACAAGGGAUUGUACACACACCAGAGAAGGGCCCAGGACUGAUGGUAACAGAAGUGAUGGAAACUAACCAGAACGAGCAAACUCCAAAGGGACACAGGCAACAGUAUCAAGACUGAUCCUCACCAGCUUGGAAUUUCUCCCACUUGAAAUUUGUUUAUAUCCGGAAAUGAUGGAAGAAAAGAAAACAAGAGGAAUGAUUGAGUGUCAGUGGGCAUAAAAUGGAAUUUGAGAAGUCUCUUAGUUUUGCAGUGUUCCAAACUUGAGUCUCUACAACGGUAGUUCUGAACCCAGGCCACAACAUUAGAGUCAUCUAAGGAACUGUUAAACAUCAGCAACCCUGGGCCCCACCUCAGGACAAUGAAAGAAGAAUGGCCAGAAGAAAUUGGGCCCUCAGUGGAUUGUGUGAUAGAGGGUUGUCUUCUCUACUCAGUAAACGCAAAGAAUUCACUCUCAGAAGGAGUAAAAAAGAGUCUUGAAAGAGAAUAGGGUAGCUUGCAGAAGUCUCCAGAGUUUUGGUGGAAGAACAGAGUUCUCCAUGAUACCAUAUACGGUCUGAGCAGAGGACACCUCCAAAUGCAGCCCAUUUGGAAAGUGGGCUGAAGGGGAAGCAGCAGAAAACCCAGCUAUGAUGGUUAAUUUUAUCUGUAAAAUUGACUGCUAAGGGAUGCCCAGAUAACUGAUAAAACAUUAUUUCUGAGUGUGUCUGUGAGAGUGUUUCUGGAAGACAGUAGCG